GCCGGGCAUGGUGGUGCAUGCCUAUAAUCCCAGCUACUUGGGAGGCUGAGGCUGGAGAAUCACUUGAACCCAGGAGGUGGAGGUUGCAGUGAGCUGAGAUCGCGCCACUGCACUCCAGCCUGGGCAACAGAGUGAGACUCUGUCUCAA
ensembl:misc_RNA Metazoa_SRP Metazoan signal recognition particle RNA